GAGUACUUAUUAACCAACGACAGAUAUUUUUGGACGAUAGCGCAUCGCACCGUAUGUUUGUAAACAGUGUACAGGCGGCCGCACCACAGACAAAUCUUCCUACAGAAGACUCAACAAUUACUUCAGAGGAUAUAGACAUGGAAGAAGAACCACAGAAAAAGAAAAGGAAGCCAAACUGGUCACAAGAGGAAACACUCCUCUUGGUCAACGUGAUUAUGGAGAAAAAAAAUUAUUAUAAAUGGGCGAUUUAAACCAAGUUUAAGCCACAAGGACAAGAGGGAGGCAUGGCAAAGCAUAACUGAUGCCAUUAAUGGAACAAAUCCACUGACUAAGUGGACUGUAGAAGAAGUUUAAACCAAAUGGUUUUCUGUCCUCUCAAAAUCGAGGAAGAAAAUUUCGGCAAUAAAGGCUGAAUAUAACCAAGCAGGUGCUGGUGGCCCCCAAGCUCCUCCACUUGACCCAGUAGACAUGAAAGUUGAGGAAUUAUUAGGGGAGAAGAAUGCAACUGUGAUAGGUGUGAUUCAGAAUGAUCUCGGCUUUCAUACGUUGAGGAAGCUGCAGACCCAGCAAUGGCAGGAAGACACUGAAGAGUUGGGAGAAGAACCACCCCAGCAACAGGUAGAGGAUGAUAGUGAACUCCCUCAGCUUCAUUGGCAAAGUGUCUAAGUCCAGCCCCAACCACAACAAUCUUCGCACAAGGCCCAGCACUUAGAACUCUUGGAGGAUGGGUCCUUUAUAGAAUGCACCAUAACUGAACCUGAAACCUCUAAGGCCCAACCAAGCAUAUCAACACCAAAACUAAGAAAGUGUUCCAGUGUCAGUGAUGAAUAUGAACAAUACAAAGCUGAAAAAACGCAAAUUGAAACUUGAACAGGAAAAGUUAAAAAUUGAAAAAAAGGAAAGUAGAAUUGUUAGCAUUGAAGGGAAACAUUGAACUUAAACAGAAGUUAAUGAUGGCUGAAAUUGAAUAUUACCAGUCUUUGACAGCAAAAAAUAUGAAAAAUUAAUAAGUGAAUUGUAUAGGUUUCAUUUUUGGUACAGUAGAAAUUUAUGCUGAGGAAAUAAAAAUAUAUUAUUAUAUUUAUUAAGAUUUUAUAGUAUAUUGCAGUAUUAUUAACAAGAUUGAAUCUCAUGAAGAUUGUCCACCCCAGAGUACCCAACUGAAAAUUGUCCACCUCAGCUGCUCUCGGCAUCCAACACCAAAGUUUCGGUUAGGUUAGGUUAGGAAAUGGUCGGGUCAGCUGAAGAUUGUCCACCCCCAGUCUCGCUCUCAUGAAGAUUGUCCACCCUAACAUGCUUGGAGUGGACAAUUUUCAUGAGAUCCACAAGAUUAUAUACUGUAGCAUGUAUGUAAAGGAAAAAAAAAAUACAAAUUAUAUUUUACAAACUGUAUUUGUUUCAAUUCAUUUUAUCUUUCACUUUUGACUAUAAGUGGGAAAAAAAACUUGUUAGUAGAGAGAGAGCACUGCAACAGCAAUCACACCUUCAUGAUACCUCAUUCAGCCACUGGUCUGCUGCAAUAUAAAUUAAUGUACAAAAAUUUAGUUUAGAAAAUAAAACUGGCACCAAUCACAUAUAUUCAUGCACAGUACUGCAUCUCUGAGCAAGGGUAAUUAAGUACAGUACUGUACUGUACUGCACUUAAACAUUUAUUAAUUUAGUGAACAUAUAUUGUAAUGUAUACAGUAUACUGUAUUGUACAGUAUACAGUACAGUACAUUCAGAAAAGUUGAUAAGGAUAAGUAGCACAUAUCUGAAAUGAAGACUGGCAAUAUAAUCUCGAAAUGGAUGUCCGUUACGGCCUGCUGGUCUACCAGGAUUAGGAGGUAUCUCUGCUUCACCUGGCUCUUCUUCAUCUGCACCUACGUCCCCUUCAGCUGCAUCGUGGAACAGUUAAUCUUCCUCGUUGAUAGGCACUGGAAUGUUAAACUGCUUGCACAUGUUGUGGAGCAGAGCACAGACAUAGACAAUUUUGCAUGUCUUCUCUGGGGACAAUCGUACUUCACCAUGAAGUACAUGGAACCGUCACUUGAGCUGGCCAAUCUCCCUCUCUACUACACAAUGUGUCCUCUUGUGUGCUCUGCAAGAAUUGUUAACCAUCAUAAGGUGAGGUAUUGCAGUAUAUACAGUAGCAUCUAUAAGCUGCAUAGUGUUGAAGAGGAAAUCUGUACUAAAGAGGAAUUCUAUGCUGUAUUGGUAUUUUGGUUGUUAUCACAUUAAGUAAUGACUACUACCUAGACUGGAGAGGACAAUAC